rnacentral:snoRNA from 1 species
CUGCAAUCAACUAACCUGACCAGGUUUCUUUCCUGUUAGGGGCCUGAUGUGCAAUGGCUGAAAAUAGCAUUCUUGGGAGCACAUGCAGCCUGUUGUUUAUGUGGGUUUCCCAAGGGACUUUGGAGACGGUU